GGCACUUUGCCGGAGUGGUUAACGGGUUGGCCUGCUAUAGAAUCGAGGAGGAUUCGUAUACAGCCAAUGCACUUUGUGCGCCAGAGUUCGAAUCUCUGAGGUGUCG